rfam:Gossypium hirsutum cultivar TM-1 chromosome 13, whole genome shotgun sequence
UGUUAAGUUUUUCAUCAUUUUUAUUACGAAAAAUUAAUAUAACUGACAAAAUAACCAGACAGUUACCAUGUGUACCUCAUUUUGACGUACAUGCUCCAAUUUUUAACAGUAAAAAUGGAUAAAAAUUUUAACA